rnacentral:rRNA from 1 species
ACGCAAGUCGAAAGACUUGAGUGGCGGACGGGUGAGUAACGCGUGAGAAUCUGCCUUUUGGUCGGGGACAACCACUGGAAACGGUGGCUAAUACCGGAUGUGCCUUUAGGGGUGAAAGAUUAAUUGCCAGAAGAAGAGCUCGCGUCUGAUUAGCUAGUUGGUGAGGUAAAGGCUCACCAAGGCAGCGAUCAGUAGCUGGUCUGAGAGGAUGACCAGCCACACUGGGACUGAGACACGGCCCAGACUCCUACGGGAGGCAGCAGUGGGGAAUUUUCCGCAAUGGGCGAAAGCCUGACGGAGCAAUACCGCGUGAGGGAGGAAGGCUCUUGGGUUGUAAACCUCUUUUAUCAGGGAAGAACCAAAUGACGGUACCUGAAGAAUCAGCAUCGGCUAACUCCGUGCCAGCAGCCGCGGUAAUACGGAGGAUGCAAGCGUUAUCCGGAAUUAUUGGGCGUAAAGCGUCCGCAGGUGGCUCAUCAAGUCUGCUGUCAAAGGCAGGGGCUUAACCCCUGAAAGGCAGUGGAAACUGGGGAGCUAGAGUGCAGUAGGGGUAGAGGGAAUUCCCGGUGUAGCGGUGAAAUGCGUAGAGAUCGGGAAGAACAUCGGUGGCGAAAGCGCUCUGCUGGACUGCAACUGACACUAAAGGACGAAAGCUAGGGGAGCGAAUGGGAUUAGAUACCCCAGUAGUCCUAGCCGUGAACGAUGGAUACUAG